rnacentral:misc_RNA from 1 species
AAGUCGUAACAAGGUUUCCGUAGGUGAACCUGCGGAAGGAUCAUUAACACGUAUCCACGUAUCAACCAAUUGCGAACUCGUUUUCACGUCUCCCUGCUGGUGCACAUACAUUGGAGGCUCUGUCGCUGAUUGAGUGGGACUCACCUCGUGUGGGUCGCGGCGACAGGCUCAUAGGCCUAAUCUCGGUUGGGCAUACAAUGGCCGUGCGCUCGCAGGCAAUAUUCUUACACUUACUACCUCCAUUCAAGGUACUACGUGUAGGAGACCAUUAUCACACAUUUCACCCCCUUUUUGCUAGUUGACUUUUUCUAUGUUGUGUUGUGUCGGCUGAUUCAUUUCACCGGUGCAUCGCACACGUUUAAUUACUUGAACGUUAAAAAUACAACUCUUAGCAAUGGAUAUCUAGGUUCUC